rnacentral:lncRNA from 1 species
CAUCGCCGUCGGAAACGAAGUCGACCCAAACAGUGAUAACACUGUUAACCGACAAUAUGUCACCUUCGUACUUCCGGCGAUGCAAAAUGUUCACCGAGCUAUUGUAGACGCGGGAUUAGAUAAACAAAUCAAGGUCUCAACAGCAACCUACGCAGGUCUGUUAGAGAACGCAUAUCCUCCAAGCGAAGGCGUGUUUUAUAAAAACGUGACUAAUACAUUUAUCGGGCCGAUUAUUACGUUUCUAGCUCAAAACAAUUUGCCAAUGCUUGCCAAUAUCUACCCCUAUUUUGCUUGUCAGCGUAGCGCUGAUGUAAAUCUCCAGUAUUCAUUGUUUACAUCGGGUCCAUUAGUGCCAGAUAAGGAUUUAAUGUAUUCUAACCUUUUUGACGCCAUGUAUGAUGCUCAUUAUGCGGCUCAAGCACGUCUUGGUGGAGAGAAUGUGGAGAUUGUUGUGUCGGAGAGUGGAUGGCCGUCGUAUGGUCAUCGUGUAGCGACACCGGAAAACGCCAGAACUUAUUAUCGGAAUU